GACAGAUUGCAUCAUUUUAAAACAUUGUAAUGAAGUGUAAAACACCUGACAACUGUAGGUCAUUUUUGAUAUUGUACCAGAUUUAUCUCUGUAUUCUGAAUAGUUUUGGUCCCAUUUGCAGCAUUUAAAUGCAACUAUGAGAGUACAGCAUGCAAGUGCAGAGGGGGGAGAUUUAAGUGCUUGAACACCUGCCCCUUUGCACAUGACACCUACUGUGCCCAUUAUUGAGGUCUUCAUUUUUAUCUAGUUAUUUAUUUAUUCCUUCAUUUAUUUUAUGUGUUUGUGUUUAAUGUAUAAACCCUAACAGUUAUUACCUCUGCCAAGGAGGUUAUGUGAUCGACAGGGUUUGUUUGUUUGUUAGCAACAUAACUCAGAAAGUUCGUGACAGAUUUUGAUGAAAUUUUGAGGAAAUGUCAGAAAUUGCAUAUGGAGUCACUGAUUAGAUCUGGAUCCAGGAAUUUUUUAAAGGAUUCUGUACUAUUGGGAGAUAGGGCUAAUGGCGAAGAUCUGCACUCUCCGAGUGCUUUUCCAGUUCUUUAUGUGUUAUAAUACAUGGUGAGGAGAAGAUGAAAAUCCUUGUUAUGAAGGUAAAACCAGGAAAUUAAUCGAUUCCAUAUGACUUGAAUAUUUAAUCAAACAAGCUUGCUAUUUGUUUUUCCAUUGAUAUGAUGAUUAAUUGACUUAUUGUUGCAGUUUCAUGUCCAUUUUCACUUUUGAGCACCUGCCCCUCUAAAGGCCUGUGCACAGGCCUGAAGUGCGUUGACCUGACACUUUAAAUCUCUUUGAUCCUUUGUGUUUAGGACCUUAAACGCUUUAUUUUAGAAACAUAACGUCCCUGCCAAACUACUGGAACUGGAUUUUCAUGGGUUGUUGUACUUUCAUUGCCAUCAAAGCUCAUGUUUGAUGACUUGUGUCAAAAGUAACACAAAUCACUUCCCUUUUGUACCAAGCAUCCUUAUAGUGUCAAGUCUGGGAGCCCCACUUUGAUCCUCCAGCCUAAAGCUGUUUACCAAGUUUGACUCCAGUCCGUCUGCCGUGGCUGAUGUCUCAAACCAAUAUGUUCCUGCAAAUCACCACUAGAUGUCAGUAUCGCCACACAGGCGCUCCAGUGAACCUAUGAAGCCUAUCUGCGGACGUGAUUGAGAACACCAACUGCCAGCAGCUGAUCUAACGGACUCCAUGGAACUGGCGCCGUCCCGUUUGUGUUUCUUCAUCCUCCAAUUCCUGGCAAAUAAAAACGCUACAACGCAGAACUGAUUUACAAAACAUUAUGGGCUGAUAGCAGAGACAUUGGGCUUCAAGGUGACACACUUGUUUGUGUUCAUCCGCGCCGGCGAACAACUUUUAUUCCCGGAAAACCUACUGGAAGUAGCGCGUGCUGUGAUCAAUUUUGCACAAUUCGCGUUAAAUUGACCCAAACAGACGGAACCUGUGACCAAAAUACCCAUUGCAUAACAAAAUCUAAUCUAUGCUCGAAAGGAUGCAUGUUGUUCGGCGGAUGUAGACUCUCGUUUUUGCUUUUAAUAAAGCGAUACAUUUUCACAACUAACACAGUCCGGCCAUUGACUUUGAGUGACGUGGUCGAGAUUAUUUAGUGUUAAACCUCGUAUAAAUUAAAUGUCACGAUGUGUAAGUCACAGAUGACACUCAGGACGACAAUAGGGGUGUAUAUAGGUUUAAAUUCGGUGGCCUGGUUAGCUGUGUUUAAGGAUUUUUGGACAGAAUUGGUUAUAAGUGUCACUAUGGCAGUCGCCACUCGCGCUCCAUUGUCAGGAAAGUUGCCAACACCUCCAAAGAUCUGGGAUUCUGAUAGCGGGUCAAAAUCUUAAUCACUGAGGCUCAGAUAGGGGUCUAGGUGUUUAUUAUGUACCCAGGUGUGAGUCCAGCUGCGUGGGGGGCUGCAGCCGAAACCAGAGUCCUUCAAUAUGGGGCGCAGUGAUGGCUUUCUAUUGUUCAGGAACUAGCGCAUCAGGGCUCAGUCAACAACACCUUUGACAUUUGGCUGUCCUCACUUCUUUUGGGGUCUUUACAGUACAUCCUGGGCAACAAAGCCCUCAAAAAUAACAAAGUUAAUCCAAUUCUCCUGCUUUAUUUCUAAUUUUAUUAUCAGCUCUGUUGUCCCUCCCUGCAACGCCAUUUUGAUUCCUAUAUGAAAGUCACAGACACUGGAGCAGGGUUUUCCCUCGACUUUUAUGGCAUGGGUAUCUCACUUUUUGGCACUAUUUUUUGCAUAAUAAGCAAAUCGCUGUCUUCGCUCACAUCACACCCUGAGUGCUAAACACUGGACAGGCGUGCACUUUAUAAGAGAGGUGGUCCUCAGUAUGUGCACCACAGUAGGAUAGCCUAUUACCUGUGUUAAACCAUCAUGAUGUGCAAAACAUUGUAAAUAACAUGUUAAUUUUACACUUGUAUGCUUUG